AUUGAACGCUGGCGGCAUGCCUUACACAUGCAAGUCGAACGGUAACGCGGGGCAACCUGGCGACGAGUGGCGAACGGGUGAGUAAUGCAUCGGAACGUGCCCAGUAGUGGGGGAUAGCCCGGCGAAAGCCGGAUUAAUACCGCACACGACCUACGGGCGAAAGCGGGGGACCGUGAGGCCUCGCGCUAUUGGAGCGGCCGAUGUCAGAUUAGGUUGUUGGUGGGGUAAAAGCCUACCAAGCCGACGAUCUGUAGCUGGUCUGAGAGGACGACCAGCACCACUGGGACUGAGACACGGCCCAGAAUCCUACGGGAGGCAGCAGGGGGGAAUUUUGGACAAUGGGGGCAACCCUGAUCCAGCCAUGCCGCGUGCGGGAAGAAGGCCUUCGGGUUGUAAACCGCUUUUGUCAGGGAAGAAACGCUCUGGGCUAAUACCCCGGGGUAAUGACGGUACCUGAAGAAUAAGCACCGGCUAACUACGUGCCAGCAGCCGCCGCGGUAA
rnacentral:rRNA from 1 species